CCUACGGUGGCAGCAGUAGGGAAUAUUUCUCAAUUGGGGAAACCCUUAAGCAGCAACGCCGCGUGGAGGAUGAAGGUUUUCGGAUUGUAAACUCCUUUUGUUAGAGAAGAUAAUGACGGUAUCUAACGAAUAAGCACCGGCUAACUCCGUGCAAGCAUCCGCGGUAAUACGGAGGGUGCAAGCGUUACUCGGAAUCACUGGGCGUAAAGAGCGCGUAGGCGGGAUAUAAAGUCAGAUGUGAAAUCCUAUGGCUUAACCAUAGAACUGCAUUUGAAACUGUUAUUCUAGAGUAUGGGAGAGGUAGGUGGAAUUCUUGGUGUAGCGGUAAAAUCCGUAGAGAUCAAGAGGAAUACCCAUUGCGAAGGCGACCUGCUAGAACAUAACUGACGCUGAUGCGCGAAAGCGUGGGGAGCAAACAGGAUUAGAUACCCUUGUAGUC
rnacentral:rRNA from 1 species